AUAUUGCACUGCUGUUAAACAAUUUCUGUUAUUUGGCAAGAAGAACACGACAGAUAGAUAAAACUGAAACAGUAAAACUACCUACUAUUCCUUACCUCAGGCAGACACAACUAAGAAUUUAAUGUAGUCUUCAGAACAACUCAUCUCAAAGCUUCGAAUGGCUGCUUGGGUAUCUAGAAAGAGAUCAUGAAGAGUAAAACUGUAGAUGUACAAAAUGAAAUAGACCUGUACAGCAAAGGAAAGGAUGAGCAGAUGAGAGAUUCAAGAAGAAUUUUCGUAAAUGAAAGGUAAAUUUAACAGUAGAAUAUAGAAUUAUCAGAUGUGUUUGGAAGACCAACAGCAUGAGUAAGACAAUCCCCCCAAAACCAAAUUGACCCCCUUGGAAAAUGGAAGUAACUUGAGAAUACAGGCAUGAACUAAAAAUAAGUCAUUGAAACCAACAACUAGUUAUUUAAUGUAUUCAGAGAGAAUUGGGAAAUCAUCACAUCCAUAAAAUGAUAGUACAGUGAAAAAAUCUGUACUCUGUGUCAGGGUGUGUGUGUGUAUGUGUGUGUUUAAGUAUAUAUGGGUAAGAACCAGGAAAAUCUUCAUAAAGGAAGCGCUGCGCUGAGCUUAUUGAAAAAGUAGAUGCACUGUUCUCCAGAGAGAUAGAGAAGCAGGGCAUUUGGGGCAGAGGAAGCAACAUUAACAAAACACAGUGAAGUCCAGAAAACUGUAGAUAACUGCACAGAGAUUACAGGGCUGAAGUGUGCAUAGAAAGAGGUCAGCCUGCUGAGGUAGACAUGAACUAGUUCAUAAAGGGCUCCAGACUUUUGAAGCCAUGCUAAAGAGUUGGUAUGUUUUUGUUUGUUUGAUUAUAUUGUCGGUAAUGAGAAACAAACACUUUUGUGGAGAUAAUUGAGGAAGGGAUUUAUAUGAUCAAAUGUGCUUCAGGUUGAUUGCGCUGAGUGCUGUUUGCUAGAUGGAUGCCAAAGGUUAAGACUUGAAGCAGGAAAAAGAACCAAUCGAUGAGAGAGCUUGAGCUAAGGUGGUGGCAUUGGGGCAAGACUGCACUUAGUUGAGCCUGGUGGCAACAUUUAUCUAGACAGAGAAUAUAGGAUGAGGAGC
rnacentral:lncRNA from 1 species